rnacentral:lncRNA from 1 species
UUAGGUUUAUGAGGAUCUCAUAAUAAUAAAGGUGAUGCUAAUGUAACACUGGAAAAAUGAUUGAGUUGGUUUCCUUUAUACCACACGAUCUCAUUUUCAUUUUCUUAUAAUUAUUUUGUUUUCUUUUUUUCUUUUUCAUUUUCUGCUUAUAAUUAGUAUUUUAGCAUAUUUUUUAAUCUGUAUAACUUAUGUUAAUUGUUUAAUUAUCAGAAUAUAGAAGAUGACAUUUUAUGUUCUUUAGGAUAUAAGUAUAUAUUUAAUUAAUUUUGAUGUUUAAUACAUAUCUUCCUAAACUAUUUAAUGUCAAGGUUAGUUAAUCAUUACAUGUUCGACUGAUUUAUAUAAUUGAGGAUGUACUUAAUAGAAGUAUGUAACUUACACUAUUUCAUAGAAAUCUCUUGUUCAUGAUCACUUUAUGAUUGUAUAAACAAAAUAAAAAGGGUAAAAAAAUAGGUACUCCUGAUAAAUUGUCAUUUUUUCCUUUUAUUUCUUUCUUUUAUGAGUCAUUUUCUUUUUUAUCUAUCAAAUGUACAAAUUAAGUGAUUUCUGAUAUAGGUUGAUCUUUUGAAGGUUACACAUCUCUAUUCAUUUGUGUUUCCUCUUAUUUUCAAUUUUAUUCUUGCGUCACCAAUGAUUAUGAUAGGGUUUUUUAUAUUGUUUUGAUGAGAUUGAGAUGUUUGUUAGGAUUAUGACGAUCUCACAAUAAUAAAUGUGAUGCUAAUGUAACACUGGAUAAAUGAUAAAGUUGGUUUGCUUUAUGGCAUACGGUCUCAUUUUCAUUUUCU